AGUCAAACCACUGGCUCAGUAGAGAUGCUGCAUUGUUGGGGAGCAGGAAGAUUCUAUGAGAAAAGAUAUUAAGACCCUCCGGUUUGGCCAUAUCAUUCCCCUAAUAGUGAUUUAAUACUCUGAGUUUGCGUGCUCUCUUCCCACUGAUGCUCUGAAUAUUUAGGUUUCCUCCCUCUGGCUUAGAGGCAGACCCUGUUUUCAAUCAAGGAUCAACCAACCAAAGGAUCCCCUUUGCAAGAAGUCACUUCCUUCCAAGGCCACAUGAACAUUUUGAAGUCACUCACAGUCUUGCCUUGGGAGGUUCUGGAGUUUAUAGACUGCUUCGGAAAGAGGCUUCGCUUUGGAAUUAAAGGACGUCUGUGUGCGCGUUCACCCAAGAGGGGCUGAUCCC
rnacentral:lncRNA from 1 species